UUAUAAAAAUCCAAAAUAAAAAAAAAAAGAAAAAAGAAAGAGAAAAACAUCUAUAUAAACGAUCAAACUCCAAACACGAAAAUGAAUACGCUCCAAACAUUUCAUGAACAGAGCCCAUAUGAUAUAAUUGAUAUAUGAUGUGUUUUGUGUGUGUGUUUACAAUGGUGAGCAACGCUUUGCCACUACAUAGAUUAUAUGUUAUUCAUUUUUAAAGUACGAUAUUUGCUUGUACAAAAAAGUGCACGAAUAGUUAUAAAUUUUGGAAUUUUUUUACGACACUUUAUCACUUUGGAAUUACAUCCCAAGACACUUUCAACAUGUGACAACCUUUCAAGAUAGUGAAUGUCAUAGAUGUCCUCUUUCAAUAGAAAACCCAUAAACCAAACCACUCC
rnacentral:lncRNA from 1 species